rnacentral:rRNA from 1 species
CCUAAAGGCGUAAUGAAAGUGAAGAUUKUCCUUGCGUCAAUCGAGGGAGGAUGAGUUGUGUUAUGAUACAGCUCCGCACUCCCGGGGCGUCUCAUUCUUAUUACAAGAAGAGGCGCACCUAGAGCGUACACGUUGGGACCCGAAAGAUGGUGAACUAUGCCUGGUCAGGACGAAGUCAGGGGAAACCCUGAUGGAGGUCCGUAGCGAUUCUGACGUGCAAAUCGAUCGUCGGAACUGGGUAUAGGGGCGAAAGACUAAUCGAACCAUCUAGUAGCUGGUUCCCUCCGAAGUUUCCCUCAGGAUAGCUGGCACUCGUGUUUAUACGAGUCUCAUCUGGUAAAGCGAAUGAUUAGAGGCCUUGGGGCCGAAACGACCUCAACCUAUUCUCAAACUUUAAAUGGGUGAGAUCUCUGGCUUGCUUGAAUAUAUGAAGCCAUGAGAUUUCGGAUCAGAGUGCCAAGUGG